UCAAAAUUAUUUCUUGAUUUGUUAAUCAUUAAUAUUUUGUGUAAUAUUAACAUUGUAGAUGUUGUUGGAGUUGUGAAAGGAUGUUCUAAGGUAGUUGAUGAUCCCCGUUCAAGGCUCUUGGAAUUGGCCUUGGAGGAUGAGAAUCAUGUUGCUAUGCGUUGUGCUCUUUGGGGUGAAAAUGUUGAUGCAUUUUUGAGCCAGCGUGAUUCGCAGAUGAUAGUUCCAAUUGUAUUGGUGCAGUUCUGCAAGGCUUCUAGAUUUAAUGGUCAAAUACGAUGUGGG